rnacentral:rRNA from 1 species
GAUGAACGCUGGCGGCGUGCCUAAUACAUGCAAGUCGAGCGAACGGACGAGAAGCUUGCUUCUCUGAUGUUAGCGGCGGACGGGUGAGUAACACGUGGAUAACCUACCUAUAAGACUGGGAUAACUUCGGGAAACCGGAGCUAAUACCGGAUAAUAUUUUGAACCGCAUGGUUCAAAAGUGAAAGACGGUCUUGCUGUCACUUAUAGAUGGAUCCGCGCUGCAUUAGCUAGUUGUAGUACGGCUACAAGCACGAUGCAUAGCCGACCUGAGAGGGUGAUCGGCCACACUGGAACUGAGACACGGUCCAGACUCCUACGGGAGGCAGCAGUGGGGAAUAUUGCACAAUGGGCGCAAGCCUGAUGCAGCCAUGCCGCGUGUAUG